CAGGUGUGUAUGGGGUGCGGGUGUGGGGGUGUGCAGGUGUGUAUGGGGUGCGGGUGUGGGGGUGUGCAGGUGUGUAUGGGGUGCGGGUGUGUGUGCAGGUAUGUAUGGGGUGGGGGUGUGCAGGUGUGUAUGGGGGUGAAGCUAUGGGGUAUAUGCAGGUGCGUAUGAAGGUGCAUGUAUGGGGGUGUGCAGAUGUGUAUGAGGUACAGGUAUUGGGUGUGUUAGUGUGUAUGGGGUGCAGGUGGGUGUGUGGGUGUGCGAGUGCAUGAUGUGUUUGGUGUGGGGUCGGGGUGGGGGUGGGGGUGUGCUGUGGUUUUUGUCUCCACCAAAAUUUAAGCGUCAUAACCGAAUGGCCAGUGUGAUGGUGUUAGGAGUGGUUAGGCCGUGAAGGGGAUGAAGGUCCUUGCAGACCAGGCCUCAGUCAGCAGAGACCUCUCACCCUCCCAGCGCCUCCACGUGAGAACACAGUGUCUGUCCCCUCCGUAGGAUGCAGCAGAAAGGUACCACCUUGGAAGCUGAGCGCCCCCCUCGCCAGACACCAGACCUGCUGGCUCCUGAAUCUUGGACUUCCAGCCUCCAGAAUGGGGAGAAAUAAGUUUCUGUUCUUUAAAAUUACUCCGUCUCAGGUGUCGGGACGUUAACUGCAGACCUUGGUGAAUAAAAGCCAGUUGUCCUGAGUUUGGCAAGAAAACCUUUGGAAGAGGCCUCACAAGCCACUCCAGGCUACAAGACGGGGCGUUUGUCCUGGGGGACCUGCCGUCACCCUUAGUGGUCCAGCAGCACCGUCUCAGCCUCUCUGGCCAGAGCAGCUGCCCCGCAGGGGCCCCCGAGUCCUGGAGAGCUAUGUCAGACAAGAUGUCCAUGGGCAGCAGACCUCUGGCCACUGCAGGCUCCAGGCACCAGAGUGAGACCCAGCAGGCUUCAGCCGGCAAGAGGGCCCCUGACUGUGGACGACUCCCUCACGGUGGUGGUCUUGGAGGGAUCCCUGCUAACAGAAAGGGUGCAUCCCUGUCCACCUUCCCGUCCUUACCCCCAAAGUCAGCGUCAGCAGCUGGCCCGCAUCGGAGGCAUUCAGAUAGGAGUCCUUGGGGACCGCCCCCAACCGACAGGAACUGGAAAUGCCUUGAGUACUGAGGGAGGAGGGCUGCAGGGACAGGAGGGAGGGUGCCCUUAAACACACUUGCUGGCCCUUCUCAGGAGAAACCCUUCCUUGCCAUGGGUCAUGGUGAAGCUGUGCCCCGAGUUAAGCCAGUGACCGAAUUCCUGAGCUCAGAGGAUGGCCGGUGAAACAACUUGCUAAAAUGCUGAGACUCCCUCCACUCGUGAGACUACGAAAAAACGUGCUGAAGUCAGUUAGAGCCAUGGUGGCCAAAGUCUCUGCUCAGAACCAGCUGCGCAGGUCCCUCCCCCGGUUCCUCCUAGGCUGAGUACUCUGGGGUCGCAGUCUUCCCGGACGUCGCCUGUUGGUUGUUGUAGGGGUUUCAGGUGUUUGUUUUUUUUUUUAGGGUUGUCUUGCUGCAUUUUGUUGCGGACCACAAUGCAUUGCAAUCCUAGUCAGCUCAGGGGCUUUUCAAGUAUUUGACUUAAGAGCUGAGUAGCUGGGCAGGCUGAUAAGAACAGACAAAGUGAGCUCUUUUGCAGGCUAGUAAACUUUCAUCUUAGACUACUUUGGUUCAGGUGAGGGCAGCUAAGCAGGUGGGAAGGCAGGGAGGGGGAGGCCGACAAGCAGGCAUUGGGGCCCAUCCAAGCAGGGGCCUAGUACAUCCUGUUUUUUUGUAGUUUGCUGACCUAAACCGGAUCAAGCCACCUUGUCUUGGAAAUGGACCACUGCGUGCGUUAUUUCACCUCCACCCGAGUCCACCUCACGCUUUCCUCCCUCCUCAUGCCCCCUUGUCCCCUCAUCCUCCCAACUGCCAUGGCUUUGUGAGGCGCCCUGGGUUCCGUGGCUACCGUGUCGACCAGGGCAGCCCACCCACUUCUCACUUUGGUCUGGAGUUGGCAAGAGCGACGCUGCUUUUCUCUUGCUCUUCAGCCUGGACCUGUGAUGUGAUAGGCGUGAGAAGGAACUGUGGGUUCUGGCGGUAAGGAAAGUGGGGCCUUACUUUCCCAUGUUCCCAAAAGGCAGAUGCAAUCCCUGCACUCCUGAAGGAGUCAAGCAGUAAAGACGACACAGCAAGACUGUCCGGGACUCAGGCUGUGAGGAUUUGUCUCAUGAGGGGCCUCAGAAAAG
rnacentral:lncRNA from 1 species